rnacentral:rRNA from 1 species
GAUGAACGCUGGCGGCGUGCCUAAUACAUGCAAGUCGAACGCUGAAGGAGGAGCUUGCUCUUCUGGAUGAGUUGCGAACGGGUGAGUAACGCGUAGGUAACCUGCCUGGUAGCGGGGGAUAACUAUUGGAAACGAUAGCUAAUACCGCAUGACAACAGUUAUUGCAUGAUAACUGUUUAAAAGGGGCAACUGCUCCACUACCAGAUGGACCUGCGUUGUAUUAGCUAGUUGGUGAGGUAACGGCUCACCAAGGCGACGAUACAUAGCCGACCUGAGAGGGUGAUCGGCCACACUGGGACUGAGACACGGCCCAGACUCCUACGGGAGGCAGCAGUAGGGAAUCUUCGGCAAUGGACGGAAGUCUGACCGAGCAACGCCGCGUGAGUGAAGAAGGUUUUCGGAUCGUAAAGCUCUGUUGUAAGAGAAGAACGAGUGUGAGAGUGGAAGGUUCACACUGUGACGGUAUCUUACCAGAAAGAGACGGCUAACUACGUG